AUGAAGGACGGGGACAUCGACGCCGUCGUCUCCAGGAGCCCCGCCCUGGAGAUCCUCAACAUCCAAGGGAGCAUGAAGGGGGUGCAUCUCCGCCUCCUCAGCCACAGCCUCCGUUGCGUGCAGAUCUGCUCUUUCGUCAUAGAGAGCGUCAACGUGGUGAACGCCCCGCGUCUCGAGCGUCUCAUCCUGUCAGAGUGUCUCAAUCCUGCCGGCGGAUCGUGCAUCAGAGUAAAGAUUGGCAACGUCCCCAAGCUGAAAGUAUUCGGGUUCCUGGAGCCAGGAAAAUACGUGCUAGAGAUCCAAGACACUGUCAUCAUGGCUGGGAUUAAGACAAGUGCAAGCAUGAUGGUCACAAGCGUGAAUGUCCUUAGUAUGAAGGUGCGCUUCGGAGUCUACGACGAUGUCAUCAAGAUGGUGCCCGCCUUCCUCAAAUGCUUCCCCAAUGUCGAGGCGCUGCAUAUUACGUCUGAAAAAUGCGAUCAACUCGCUGGCAAGUUCGACCUCAAGUUCUGGGAAGAGGUUGGUCUCAUCGUAAGUGUGCUCUUGCGGCUCAAGGUGAUCACCUUUCGUGAAUAUCGUGCCAGGCAAGAUGAGCUUGCCUUCCUCCAGUACAUCUUGCAGCAUGCAAUGGUGCUCAAGUAUGCAGUGGUUCAGAUGGUCAAUCCAAAAUUCACUUCACUGUCAGUAGAUGAGAUGGCCUACACCAUAGACAAUAUGCAGCCUCCUAAAAAUAAAAAGUGGGCCAGCACAGUUGGUUUAUUAACCAUGGGGACUCAUGGUCCUGAAGGAGGUGAAACUUGGACUUUUCGGAAAGGAGCAGACCUCUCCGACGAUGACCCUAUUGCACCAGUUAAAUUCAUCAUAAGGGUUGCAGGCCCGGCGACGUGCCAGCACAAGUCACGAGCUGCCAAGCAUCGCAACUGA
rnacentral:rRNA from 1 species